AAGUAUUCAAAUUUUCAUGAGCUAAUUGUUUCAAGCAGGAAAGGAAUUUUUGAUCAUCAGGCACCUUUAGCUCUGGCCACAGCAAUUGCUAACUAUAGUUUCUGCUUACACUCGGUGAUAGACUAGUUUAGGGGCUUAGGGCUCAGCUGGGGGAACAAACUUCUGCCUGAUGUCCUUAUGCCACUUAUAGGUGGGGCCUAGGAGAUCCAACAUCUAUCUGUGCGCUCAGAGAGUCUGUUAUUACAUCCUUGACGUGCCAAAAACAGUUUUACGACAAACUGCUAAGGAAUGGGUACUUUUCUGCAAGAUGAGAAAGGGAGGAUUUAGUAGUCAUAUUCUUGAAAAAAAAUUUUUUCACCUAUUGUGUCAUAAUAUCACAUAUUUAUAAAACUCUUAGGGGUGUGAAUAUAGAAGCCUGUGUAACUCUGCACUUGUGUCCCUGUGUUUGAGGGGGCAUAUUUGGAAGUGAAAUGUUAGAAUAGGAAUUUCUACCCAAGCAAGCUUCUGUUUGGUUUUAUUCAGUCCUUUCCAGGGUAGCCUAGGUAUGAGGGUGUAAGAAAUAUGGACUGAGAGUGCAUCCUUGGGAGAAACAGAUUUAUCGGGAACCUCUGACAAAAUCAAGAUUAGUGUUCAGGCUCUUGAUCUCAGGGUUCUGCAACAUUUUAUUUUUUAAACUUUUUAUCCAAGUGUAACGGAUAUAGAAAAAUGUACAAAUCAGGAGUUUUCGCAAAUUCCUCGACAGUUUUCUUUGUUUUUUAAGGAUUUAUUUAUUUAUUUAUUCAUGAUAGACCUAGAGAGAGGCAGAGACACAGGCAGGGAGUGAAGCAGGCUUCUUGCCGGGAGCCCGACGCGGGACUCGAUCCCGGGUCUCCAGGACCACGCCCUGGGCCAAAGGCAGGCGCCGACCUGCUGAGCCCCCCAGGGAGCCCCUCCUCCACAGUUUUCAAUAGCGAGUCCGCAGGGGGUGAACACCCUCGACGGCCCCGUCAGAAAGAAUCCCCCGAGCACCGACGCGCCCCCUCACGGCCCCCGCGGCCGCUCGGACUCGCGCCUGCGCGCUGGGAGCCCGCCACUCGGGAGGAAGCGGGAGGGCAGGAAGGCCCGCCCCCUUCCCGGCUCUCCCCUGCCGUCUCUCCUGGAGCUGCGAGCCAGCCGCGCGCUUCUGUCGCUGCUCGGAGCUCCCGGCGCUUCUUGCUGCGCCUGCGCGGCCCCGUCCGGCUCCCCACGUGGGUCGCCUCCUGGUUGCCGCCGGCCCCAGGCCCGCGGGUCCCGGCCCUCGCCUCCCCGGUCCCGUCGGCGUCCCGCGUCUGGAGCGCCAUGCUCUUCUAUUCCUUUUUCAAGUCCCUGGUGGGCAAGGAUGUGGUCGUGGAACUCAAGAAUGACCUGAGGUAGGUACCUUUUCCACCAAGUCGGUAGGACUUGGGUAUAUGCCGGUCUCUGGAACCUCUUCGACGAGUAGUAUUUGAGGGCUGGCCCAAGUGGAAGAGAUAGAGAAGAAAUAAAUGACCUGUGCCUUAAGCUUAAAGUAGCA
rnacentral:lncRNA from 1 species